rfam:Homo sapiens chromosome 14, GRCh38 reference primary assembly.
GCUGGGCGUGGUAGUGCACGCCUGUAAUCCCGGCUACUUGGGAGGCUGAGGUAUGAGAAUCGCUUGAACCCAGGGAGUCAAGAGGUUGCAGUGAGCUGAGAUUGUGUCACUGCACUCCAGCCUGGGUGACAGAGUGAGACUCUGUCUCAA